GACGAACGCUGGCGUCGUGCUUAACACAUGCAAGUCGAACGAAGUGGCGAACGGGUGAGUAACGCGUAAUCAACCUGCCCUUCAGAGGGGGACAACAGUUGGAAACGACUGCUCAUACCGCAUACUGCAGUAGUGGAUUGCGUCGGAUUAGCUAGUUGGCGGGGUAACGGCCCACCAAGGCGAUGAUCAGUAGCCGGUCUGAGAGGAGGAACGGCCACAUGGGGAAUGAGACACGGCCCAGACUACUACGGGAGGCAGCAGUGGGGAAUCUUCCGCAAUGGACGAAAGUCUGACGGAGGAACGCCGCGUUAGUGAUGAAGGCCUUCGGGUUGUAAAGCUCUGUUAAUCGGGACGCGGUACCGGAAUAGAAAGCAACGGCUAACUACGUGCCAGCAGCCGCGGUAAUAC
rnacentral:rRNA from 1 species